AAUGACUCCUAAUGGCAUUACUAUUCCAGAGCUCACCUCUCCUUAGAAAGGUUCGUCUUGCAGUAUGUGGUGAUCAGCAAAGUCUCCUGACUGGACAGCUGCUCAGACAGAGACUCUGGAGCACUCAGCCCUGAGUGCCUAGACUCUCAGACCCUCCCCUCAAGGCUCAGGACCCCUGUGGCAGCAGAGGUCGGAGGGGUGUAAGGAGAGCAUCAGCAUCCAGACACCGCAGGAUUGGUGCAGAGAUUGACGCACACUUGGAACCUGCACAGGCUCAAACCAGACGAUUGCUUUUCUAAGCUAACCUAGAAAAAGCAAAAAAAAACUGUUCUUAAAAUACUAUCUGCUAGGGAUGGCUCAGGUGGUAAUGUGCUUGGUUAUGAAACCAUGAGGACCUGAGUUUGACCUCUAGCAUUCAUAUAAGAAAACUGGGCAUGGCAGCAUGACUACAGAAUCUCAGCUUUGGGGACAUGGGGAUAGCAGAGUCCUUGGGGCGUGUGGGCCAGCCACUCUUGCUGAAUUGACUAGCUCCAGCUUCCUUGGAAGACCCUGACUCAAUCAAUUGUACCUUCUGGAUUCUACAGACAUGACACAAGUACCCAUGUACACAUAUAUUCACACUCAUAGAUAUGAUCCUUUUAGAAAUGUUUGCAUAUGUGACAUGACACAAGUACCUGUGUACACAUAUAUUCACACUCAGAUACAAUCCUUUUAGAAAUGUUUGCAUGUGUAAAACUAUUCUCAUUCCCAGUAGAACCCAUUUCUUCAUCUUCAAUUUUUUUUUCGUCUUUAUCUUAAAUUCAAAGGGAAUAUGCCUAAGUGUAAUUGUAGUAGGAUUACUGUGAUAGCUAUUUUCUGUUAUAUUUCCUUACAAGAUAAAAAUCUGUUGGAGGGGGCUAGGUGGUGCAGUGGUUAAGACCUCGGCUCUUCAACAGGACCCAAGUUUGGUUGGUUCCCAGCACACACCUCAGGUGGCUUCUAACUGCAAUCUUUCUGGCUUCUGUGCUCACAGACACUCAAAUGCACAUGCCUACAAACAGACACAUAAUGAAAAACAAAAGCCAAAAACAAAAAAAAAAAACAA
rnacentral:lncRNA from 1 species